CGUAGGGCGCAAGCGUUGUCCGGAAUUAUAGGGCGUAAAGAGCUCGUAGGCGGCUUGUCACGUCGGGUGUGAAAGCCCGGGGCUUAACCCCGGGUCUGCAUUCGAUACGGGCUAGCUAGAGUGUGGUGGGGGAGAUCGGAAUUCCUGGUGUAGCGGUGAAAUGCGCAGAUAUCAGGAGGAACACCGGUGGCGAAGGCGGAUCUCUGGGCCAUUACUGACGCUGAGGAGCGAAAGCGUGGGGAGCGAACAGGAUUAGAUACCCUGGUAGUCCACGCCGUAAACGGUGGGAACUAGGUGUUGGCGACAUUCCACGUCGUCGGUGCCGCAGCUAACGCAUUAAGUUCCCCGCCUGGGGAGUACGGCUGCAAGGCUA
rnacentral:rRNA from 1 species